CCCAGGGGGAUUUCACAGACUGCAGUCUUCAAAGUCCUCAUGAAGUGGGAAGGGACCUUGCACAGAUGAAACGGAGCUUCCAGAGUCUCUUCAGAUCAAAAGGUCCCUGCUACCCUGAUGACUGUGUCGUCACGCCCACCUGAACUACCUACUGCUGCCUAACUCGGAAUUUGUUCCACAUAACAGAGCCAUCUUCCUUGAGACUCCUGCUCCAUGAGAGCGAAGUGGCGGAAGAAGACAAUGCGCAGGCUGAAGCGCAAGAGAAGAAAGAUGAGGCAGAGGUCCAAGUAAGCCAGCCCGUGCACCCACGACUCCUGCAGGAGCAGAAGUGAGGGAUGCUGAGGGCCGGGACAAGCUAUCCGACUGUGUGCUGCCAUCGGGUAAUGAGUCUCAGUAGACCUGGAACGUCACCU
rnacentral:lncRNA from 1 species